UGACGUUUUCUUGAUAUCUUAAGAUUUAUUUGUUGAAAAAUGGUUAUUAUUGAAUAUUUAUAACAGUAACAUGGCUUUUGGAUAGUGAGUUGGAAAGAGAGAUAUUAAUUUACAUAAUUUUAGGAGUUUGCUCGUAAUUUGCAUUAUUAUAUACAGCGUACAUUUUUGUAUACAGUACAUACUACAGAUCACAGACACAGAGAAAAUAAACAAGACGACAAUGUUAGUAUACAAAUAUGAAAACGAUGCAAGUGCAGAAAACAUGAUACAAUACGAUUAAAACAUUUCAUAAUU